GAUGAACGCUGGCGGCGUGCCUAAUACAUGCAAGUCGAGCGAACAGACGAGGAGCUUGCGCCUCUGACGUUUGCGGCGGACGGGAGAGUAACACGUGGAUAACCUACUUAUAAUACGGGUAAAACUUCGGGAAACCGGAGCAAAUAGCGGAUAAGAUACUGAACCGCAUGGUGCAAUAGUGAAAGACGGCGUUGCUGUCUCGAAUAGAUGGAUCUGCGCCGCAUGAGCUAGUAGGUAAGUAAACGGGUUACCAAGGCAACGAUGCGUAGCCGACCUGAGAGGGUGAUAGGCCACCCUGGAGCGGGGCCGCCGUCCAGACUCCUACGGGAGGCAGCAGUAGGGAAUGUUACGCAAUAGGCGAGAGCCUGACGGAGCAACGCCGCGUGAGUGAUGAAGGUCUUCGGAUCGUGAAACUCUGUUAUUAGGGAAGAACAGAUGUGUCAGUAACUAUGCACGUCUUGACGGUACCUGAUCAGAAAGCCACGGCUAACUACGUG
rnacentral:rRNA from 1 species